CCUACUGGAGGCAGCAGUGAGGAAUAUUGGUCAAUGGGCGGAAGCCUGAACCAGCAAAGUAGCGUGCAGGAUGACGGCCCUACGGGUGGUAAAUUGCUUUUAUACGGGAAUAACGCGCCUUACGUGUAGGGAUUGGAAUGUACCGCAUGAAUCAGGACCGGCUAAUUCCGUGCCAGCAGCCGCGGUAAUACGGAAGGUCCGGGCGUUAUCCGGAUUUAGUGGGGUUAAAGGGAGCGUAGGCGGAAUGUCAAGCGUGAUGUGAAAUGGCCGGGCUCAACCCGGGCCUUGCAGCGCGAACUGGCGUGCUUGAGUCCGCGGAAGGCAGGCGGAAUUCGUGGUGUAGCGGUGAAAUGCUUAGAUAUGACGAAGAACCCCGAUUGCGAAGGCGGCUUGCUGCAGCGGAACUGACGCUGAUGCUCGAAAGCGCGGGUAUCGAACAGGAUUAGAUACCCUUGUAGUC
rnacentral:rRNA from 1 species